UACGAAGGGGGCUAGCGUUGUUCGGAAUCACUGGGCGUAAAGGGCGCGUAGGCGGCUUUAUAAGUCGGGGGUGAAAGCCUGUGGCUCAACCACAGAAUUGCCUUCGAUACUGUAGAGCUUGAGACCGGAAGAGGUAAGUGGAACUGCGAGUGUAGAGGUGAAAUUCAUAGAUAUUCGCAAGAACACCAGUGGCGAAGGCGGCUUACUGGUCCGGUUCUGACGCUGAGGUGCGAAAGCGUGGGGAGCAAACAGG
rnacentral:rRNA from 1 species